GUCCUUUUGUAGUUCAUAAAAGGGAUGACGGGGUGUUCACGCUGUUGUGUGACGUGUGCCUCCCUCAGCAAGUGUAUUUUAACAACACAAACCACACA
rnacentral:snoRNA from 14 species